CUGGGCGACUCCGGCGUGCAGGGAGUAUCGCGAGCUGGAACCAGGGUGCGGCGUGUCUUCCAUGGCCGAGCAGAGUGGUGGACUGAGGGGGACGCGGCCAAGCGGAGCAGGGGCAACACCAGCGAGCUCGCGCGGACCGAGCAGGGAGCACCAGGGAACAGCGGCAUCAGGCAUAGAACGAGAGCCCGACCAGGAGACGUGGAGUCGGGGCGGAGCUCGGCAGGGUCACGGCUGGGGACUUGGGCGCCGGGCGCCAUGGGGAAGGAAGCUUGGCUGCGACACGCAGAGAAGCUCCGAUCCGAGGACAGAGCGCUCAGGCGCUAUGGAGGGAGCACCGCGAGGGAGCUGCGUGGAGAGGGAGAGCUCGGCUGGGAGGAGUGGAAGACCACUCGGCUGAGCGAGGGAGAAGAUCAGUGGCUGCAAACAAAUAAUCUGUCGGAUGGGAAGCGGCGGCAGCAGGUAAGGCGGCUGGAGAUUUUUCUCCAAGUACGAGCGGCACAGACCAGGGGAUAA
rnacentral:misc_RNA from 1 species